rnacentral:rRNA from 1 species
CACGUAGGCGGACUAUUAAGUCAGGGGUGAAAUCCCGGGGCUCAACCCCGGAACUGCCUUUGAUACUGGUAGUCUCGAGUCCGGAAGAGGUGAGUGGAAUUCCGAGUGUAGAGGUGAAAUUCGUAGAUAUUCGGAGGAACACCAGUGGCGAAGGCGGCUCACUGGUCCGGUACUGACGCUGAGGUGCGAAAGCGUGGGGAGGCAAAACA